rnacentral:rRNA from 1 species
CUACGGGCUGCUCCAGUGGGGAAUCUUAGACAAUGGGCGCAAGCCUGAUCUAGCCAUGCCGCGUGAGUGACGAAGGCCUUAGGGUCGUAAGGCUCUUUCGCUGGGGAAGAUAAUGACGGUACCCAGUAAAGAAACCCCGGCUAACUCCGUGCCAGCAGCCGCGGUAAUACGGAGGGGGUUAGCGUUGUUCGGAAUUACUGGGCGUAAAGCGCGCGUAGGCGGAUCAGAAAGUUGGGGGUGAAAUCCCGGGGCUCAACCCCGGAACUGCCUUCAAAACUCCUGGUCUUGAGUUCGAGAGAGGUGAGUGGAAUUCCGAGUGUAGAGGUGAAAUUCGUAGAUAUUCGGAGGAACACCAGUGGCGAAGGCGGCUCACUGGCUCGAUACUGACGCUGAGGUGCGAAAGCGUGGGGAGCAAACAGGAUUAGAUACCCGAGUAGUC